GACGAACGCUGGCGGCGUGCUUAACACAUGCAAGUCGAACGGAAAGGCCCUGCUUUUUUGGUGUUCUCUAGUGGCUAACGGGUGGGUAACAAGUGAGUAACCUACCCUUGACUUUGGGAUAACUUCAGGUAACUACGGCUACUACCGGAUCGGAGCUCCUGCUGCAUGGUGGGGGUUGGAUAGUUUCGUCGGUUGGGGAUGGACUCGCGGCUUAUCAGCUUGUUGGUGGGGUAGUGGCUUACCAAGGCUUUGACGGGUAGCCGUCCUGAGAGGGUGACCGGGCACAUGGGGACUGAGAGAGGGCGCAGACGGGAAUGGGAGGCAGUAGGGGGGAAUAUGGUACAGUGGGCGGAAGUGUGAGGCAGAAACGUCGCGGUUGUGAUGAAGGUUUUGGGGUGGGGAACCGAGUUAGGUUGAGACGAAGAGUGAGUGACGGUAAUGGGUAAAGAAGCACCGGCUAACUACGUG
rnacentral:rRNA from 1 species